UUGUCUCAAAGAUUAAGCCAUGCAUGUCUCAGUACAAGCCAGAUUAAGGUGAAACCGCGAAAGGCUCAUUAAAUCAGUUAUGGUUCCUUAGAUCGUACCCACAUUUACUUGGAUAACUGUGGUAAUUCUAGAGCUAAUACAUGCAAACAGAGCUCCGACCGGAUACGGAAGGAGUGCUUUUAUUAGAUCAAGGCCAAUCGGCGGCGGGCGCGUUCGCUCGCGUCCGUUUGCCGCUCAACCUGGUGACUCUGAAUAACUUUCGGCUGAUCGCACGGUCUCGCACCGGCGACGCAUCUUUCAAAUGUCUGCCUUAUCAACUGUCGAUGGUAGGUUCUGCGCCUACCAUGGUCGUAACGGGUAACGGGGAAUCAGGGUUCGAUUCCGGAGAGGGAGCCUGAGAAACGGCUACCACAUCCAAGGAAGGCAGCAGGCGCGCAAAUUACCCACUCCCGGCACGGGGAGGUAGUGACGAAAAAUAACGAUACGGGACUCAUCCGAGGCCCCGUAAUCGGAAUGAGUACACUUUAAAUCCUUUAACGAGGAUCAAUUGGAGGGCAAGUCUGGUGCCAGCAGCCGCGGUAAUUCCAGCUCCAAUAGCG
rnacentral:rRNA from 1 species